AUUUACAAUAACAAAAUUAAACGAAUAAAUGAAAACGGCUCGUUUGGUUUUCAGGAGAGUAACGAGAAACCUAAUGAGGAAUAAGCAGGUGGUGAUUAUGCGUCUUGUUCAGAAUCUGAUCAUGGGUCUGUUCCUCAUUUUCUACCUUCUCCGAGUCCAGAACAACAUGCUGAAGGGCGCUGUUCAGGACCGUGUAGGGCUGUUGUACCAGCUCGUGGGUGCCACCCCGUACACCGGCAUGCUCAACGCUGUGAACCUCUGUAAGUGCCUGUGUUGGAGGUGCGGCUCUCUCCCCCACAUCUAUCUGAUCCGAAUGUUGCCUCC
rnacentral:lncRNA from 1 species